rnacentral:rRNA from 1 species
GAUCCUGGCUCAGGAUGAACGCUGGCGGCGUGCUUAACACAUGCAAGUCGAACGAAGCACUUAAGAUUGAUCCUUCGGAUGAUUUCUUUUGUGACUUAGUGGCGGACGGGUUAGUAACGCGUGGGUAACCUGCCUUACACAGGGGGAUAACAGUUAGAAAUGACUGCUAAUACCGCAUAACCCGAUAGGAUCGCAUGAUCCAGACGGAAAAGAUUUAUCGGUGUGAGAUGGACCCGCGU